AUUUCUCUAAACAGGGAAAGGAAAGAGAAGGAAGUAGACAACACUUGAACACAGUCUCCGACAGAGAAAGAGGUCUUUUAACUAACUCGGAACUUUUCUGGCGGGAAACUGGACGUUCCUUUCCUUCCGUUUCCUUGGCCUUAAUAUUGAUUUGAUAGAAGAGGGAGAAGAGAGAAGUGGGAAGCCAUCAAUGGCGGAAUCAUCUUAUGGACCUGCCGGUUUCUGGACGCAGGCUGACGCUUUGCUCAGGAAGAAACUUACAUUCCAGAAACGAAAUAUCAAGACAAAUGUUAGGCUCAUUUCAUUCCCAUUUUUUCUCUGUUUGCUGCUGCUUCUCAUCCAAGUUUUGGUUAACUCUGAACCGAACAAGCCUAAGUACAAGUGUGGCUGCACUUGUAUUGACCCAAAUAAAACUGGUACUUGCCAGAAAGUAUGUGGGAUUCGGUACUCGACUUUGGAUCAAGCGGCCUCCUGUGCCAUUCCUAGCCCUCAGGAAUGGCCAGUUUUGUUGCAAGUACCAGCUCCCCAGCUCCCCAGUAUCGUGCGGUGAGGACCGACUUGAUUCCUUUCAUGGACUUGCCCAAUGAUUUCUGCCGUUUGACUGGAUCCUGUCCUGCUACCGUACUUCUCACUGGGAGUAACAGAUCUCUUGCAGAAAGAAAUUUUUUCACAGGUGUUGUCUCUCUGAAUUCCUCAGAUAUGCUAAACAGUUUAGCCGACACUUUGCUGG